UGCACUUGGGACACCUGGGGACACUAG
rnacentral:piRNA from 1 species